UACGUAGGGUGCAAGCGUUGUCCGGAAUUAUUGGGCGUAAAGAGCUUGUAGGCGGUUUGUCGCGUCUGCUGUGAAAUUUCGGGGCUCAACCCCGAACUUGCAGUGGGGUACGGGCAGACUAGAGUGUGGUAGGGGAGACUGGAAGUUCCUGGUGGUAGCGGUGAAAUGCGCAGGAUAUCAGGAGGAACACCGAUGGCGAAGGCAGGUCUCUGGGCCACUACUGACGCUGGAGAAGCGAAAGCAUGGGAGCGAACAGG
rnacentral:rRNA from 1 species